rnacentral:lncRNA from 1 species
GUGUGUCAGAAAAAUACAUAAAAAGGCUGAGUUCUGCUAUCUUACUAAGAAAAUAAAUUACCUAAGAGAAAAUCCUAACUUGAAGUGAAUUUAGUCAGAAGACCUCUUUCUGACAUAUUUGUAUAUAGUUGUAACUGAUACCUCACCAGUUACAUAAAACAUGUUUAUUAUUAUUAGUUAUAUAUUCAGAGCCUUUUCUGAAUAACUAACAAUGAAAUACAGCUUAUACCAUACAUAAACUGUAUUGUUUAUUAUAAUUUCCAGACCUUUAGGAAAUUAUCCCUUACUUGUCAAAUGUUUUCCUAUUUAAUCCUAUUUAUUACAAAAUGACAAACGUUAACAGUAAACAUGAACUUCAAUGAACAAUUUCAAUAAUCCUAACUUUAAAAGAUAAACUAGAAAUAAAGCUUUAAAGAGUCCGCUAAAAUGAAAUAUUCCUUUUAAACUUUGAAAACGCUAACUUUACUAUUUUCCUUUACAAUUUAACCUUUAAAAAAAAUGAAGUUUCUAAGGAAAAUAAACCAUUUUGACUAAAAUAAAUAACGAGCAAAUAAAAAUACCAACUGUAAGAACCAAAAGUUUAAGCAGAACUGACGACCAAGCGUCGAAAUUACGUCAAUGUUGGAUUGUUGGAUUGUUGGAUGGUUGGAUGGUUGGAUCGCGCGCUUGCCGUCCAACCAAAUAUUUGAAUUCUUAAUAAAUUACAAAAAUCACAAUAAUAUACAAUUUAAGUAACCUUUAUAUAAUAAACAAAGUUUGCAUGGUACUAAACAAAUUUCUAUAGUAACUAAAAAUACAACAAUAUAUACAGCGCCACCGGAAGUCACAAUACGUAAACAACAUUGCGAAAAGUCAUGUGUGUCACCGGCGGACCAAAAUGUUAAAUAUCAAGGAAAGUGAGCAUUAACAUCUACAAAACAUUGAAGACGUUGACUACAAAUACUAAAAGGAAUUACAAGAAGUAUGUGAAAACAGUUGCCAACACGUAAAAAUAGUGUUUUUAUUGAACAAUCGUCCCAAGUGACACAUGGAUUCUACUGCGCAUGUCAAUACAUUUCAUUCAUAAAAUUCAAGCACAGGUGCGUGGAAUUUACUACGAUUUACUACGAUCUACUACAGUUGCUACAAUUGGAUCUUCACAAAAAUACAAGACAUACAGUUGGAUUAUUCAGUGGAUUAUUACUAUGAACUGGUAAAUUAUUACAUGAACUUCAACUGGUUUAUCAAAUAUAUACAAAUGACAGUAAUUCAAUAUUUCUACAAGAAUCAUAAUAUUGUAAUUGUUCUAACUUUACUUUAUUAAAUGUUAAUUAAAAC